rnacentral:rRNA from 1 species
CCUACGGGAGGCAGCAGUGGGGAAUCUUGCGCAAUGGGCGAAAGCCUGACGCAGCAACGCCGCGUGCGGGAAGAAGGCUUUCGGGCUGUAAACCGCUUUCAGCAGGAACGAAAAUGACGGUACCUGCAGAAGAAGGAGCGGCCAACUAUGUGCCAGCAGCCGCGGUGAUACAUAGGCUUCAAGCGUUGUCCGGAUUUAUUGGGCGUAAAGAGUUCGUAGGCGGUCAAGUAAGUCGGGUGUGAAAAUUCUGGGCUCAACCCAGAGACGCCACCCGAUACUGCUUAACUUGAGUUCGAUAGGGGAGUGGGGAAUUCCUAGUGUAGCGGUGAAAUGCGCAGAUAUUAGGAGGAACACCGGUGGCGAAGGCGCCACUCUGGAUCGAUACUGACGCUGAGGAACGAAAGCAUGGGUAGCAAACAGGAUUAGAUACCCUGGUAGUCCAUGCCGUAAACGGUGGGCACUAGGUGUGGGUUUCUAUUAACGAAAUCCGCGCCGUCGCUAACGCAUUAAGUGCCCCGCCUGGGGAGUACGGUCGCAAGCUAAAACUCAAAGGAAUUNACGGCNGNGAGNGCGACGACGACGACGAGGAGAG